AACGAACGCUGGCGGCAGGCUUAACACAUGCAAGUCGAGCGCCCCGCAAGGGGAGCGGCAGACGGGUGAGUAACACGUGGGGAUCUGCCCAAUGGUACGGAAUAGCUCCGGGAAACUGGAAAUAAUACCGUAUGUGCCCGCAAGGGGAAAGAUUUAUCGCCAUUGGAUGAACCCGCGUCGGAUUAGCUAGUUGGUGAGGUAAAGGCUCACCAAGGCGACGAUCCGUAGCUGGUCUGAGAGGAUGAUCAGCCACACUGGGACUGAGACACGGCCCAGACUCCUACGGGAGGCAGCAGUGGGGAAUAUUGGACAAUGGGCGCAAGCCUGAUCCAGCCAUGCCGCGUGAGUGAUGAAGGCCUUAGGGUUGUAAAGCUCUUUCGCCGACGAAGAUAAUGACGGUAGUCGGAGAAGAAGCCCCGGCUAACUUCGUGCCAGCAGCCGUCGUAACAC
rnacentral:rRNA from 1 species